CAGCACCAGCACCAGCACCCUAGGGAUCAUAACAAGAAAUCUCAUCAGCCAGGUACGUGUAUAUAUACAGAGUAUGUAUGUUUUUUGUAUGAUGGAAAAAGUAAAAAAAAAAAAAAUGGAUGUGGGUGCAGAUCAUGAUGAAAAGGGAGUGAGGAAUCUGCAUGGACAAGUGAUGGCGUGUGGAUACGAGGAUGUUCAAGUGAUGUGGUCUAUCCUUGACAAGUCCAAGUCCGAACCCAACUGCAACAUGUCUUCCUGAUCCAACCAUCACCCUCCUUGUACAUAUAUAUAAUUUACAUAUUAGAAGACUCCAAACAACCCAACACAAGCGGUGGCUCUCUCCUUUUUGAAUUACCUUGUCAUCAUAAGGGUGUGUGAUUCUCUAAUUUUUAAUUCACAUGUUACUUUGGGGAAUCCCCGUGAUAUUAAUGAAAUUCACGGCGAGAUUGUUUUCUUUUAAUCAAAAUUAUGCACAUUCCUUUUUCUCCCUCACCUAUAAAUUAUUUUUAUCCCCUUUGUAACAAAGAUAAAACCAACAAACACCAAGCAGGUUUUCUUCUGCAAAACCUUCUACGACCUGUUGGCACAAGUGCCGUAAGAUCAUCUUACUUCCUCUUUCCCUAGUUAACCAGAGACGACGGCCUGGUUAAUAAUUAUUUUAACUUUUUUAAAUUAAUAAUUAUUUUAACACACUACAUUUUUAAUCAAAAGUGAAUUAAGGAUUAUAUUUUUUUCUCAGAAAACAAAUUAUAAUCCUUGCAGAAAUAUUUUUCCCAAUUCCUAUGACAACAAUCUGCAUGAUUUAAAUUUUUAAUUAUAACAUGGAUCACAUCGUACAAACUAGAAAAAGCAAUGAUCUUUUUGAAUACCAAACAGUCUACUUCAUACCCUAGUCAAAUGGUACCUAAUGUAGUGUAUGGGACGGUACCCCCUUUUUGUAAUUACCGCCUUUUUAUAAUAUUCUAUUCCUUCGACCAAAAAGGAGUAACAACUUAUUAUUAUUAUUAUUAUUCCAUUAACCCAACUGAGAGACAUAUGCGCACAACAUUCAGGUCUAAGUCUGACUCUAGACAGAAUCUCCAAGCUUAAUCUGGGACAUUGUCCGACUCUCGACUCAAGACUUGGUCUCAAAGUUCAAUCUGGGUCAUAGUGUCAAGAAUAAUACAACUCAAGAUGUGGAACCCUGUCUACUCCCAGGCACAACAUAGCCAGAUUCUCAUAUAUACAUAAAUAUGUAUAUGUAUACAUCUAAAAUAUUUACCAGCCAAAAUAAGGUGUAAAUCUUCCAACAAAAUCCAUUCGACUUGUAAUAUAACCACUUUUACAUUAGUAUAUUCUUUCAUAUAUAUAAGGAUAAUUACACUUACAUCCUAACAAACAUGUCCAAAAUUUAUAAUUCAAGCAUACCAGUCAAAUUCCCUUAAGGAGAAAUUGUCCUCGCACACCACACAGGCGCAUAUGAUCCGUAGGCAUGGCAUCAAGCGCGAGACUCCAAUCAUUGGCUCUCACCCUGCCCAUAAUAAAAAUCGGGCAAAAACAGUGGUCCAAGAUUUCUCCAAUCAAUCAGCUAAUCAAUGGUCACAUCUUCCACUAGAUCAAUUUCUUACUCAUUUUCACGUUUAAAACCUAAACUUCUAAGAAGAGACAAACAUCUAUGGUUUCUAAUCUACAACAUUCCAAGCAGUAGGGAACAGAUUUUAGCCACAUCAACAUCCCCAAUAAUAUAAUGUAAUGAUGGAUGCAUCAUGAUGACCGCGAAAAGCAAUCCAUUUAGAAGCCUCGCUGACCCCUCUUUAACCAUGAAAGUUACACCAAACAAAUACAAGAUAUCAUACAAGGAAUAUCCAUGGUACUCGACCCGAUGGACUCCAUUCCACAGUGUAAGAACAGAAUAGGCUACCUUAAAAAAAUUUAUAGCUCCAGAAAGGGGAAAAAAGCAAUGACAGAGAUUCCUAAGAGAGUUAGGUUGCACAUCAACUGUAACUACGUCUUCAACCUUUCACAGCUAUCUUUUCUGUUUCACUUCACCGAGCAUUCCUCUCUUCUCUUGCUUCAAGAGCAUCAACUUCCUCAUUUGAUAAAAGAUCAACAAUGGGCUCAUAUACAUCCCACUCCUUCCUUUUCCUGGUACAUUAGAGAGCCAAAAGGAUCAUUUGCACCAUAUUGCAGUUUUCUUCUUGUGUUCUUUCGGGUACAUGGCAUUUGACAGUAAGAAAUAUCAAAAUGCAACAAAACGAUAAGAAAAGGAGAAAACUACAUGUAGGGGGAAAAAGGAAUUACAAGUAUUACAAAAAACAUGAUAUUUCACAGACUAAAACCAUGUACUUAAGAAAUUCCGAAAUAAGCCAGUCCAUUANNNNN
rnacentral:lncRNA from 1 species